CUUGCUGGGGGAUUAGUGGCGAACGGGUGAGUAACACGUGAGUAACCUGCCCUUGACUCUGGGAUAAGCCUGGGAAACUGGGUCUAAUACCGGAUACGACCAUCUGGCGCAUGUCAUGGUGGUGGAAAGCUUUUGUGGUUUUGGAUGGACUCGCGGCCUAUCAGCUUGUUGGUGGGGUAAUGGCCUACCAAGGCGACGACGGGUAGCCGGCCUGAGAGGGUGACCGGCCACACUGGGACUGAGACACGGCCCAGACUCCUACGGGAGGCAGCAGUGGGGAAUAUUGCACAAUGGGCGCAAGCCUGAUGCAGCGACGCCGCGUGAGGGAUGACGGCCUUCGGGUUGUAAACCUCUUUCAGUAGGGAAGAAGCGAAAGUGACGGUACCUGCAGAAGAAGCGCCGGCUAACUACGUGCCAGCAGCCGCGGUAAUACGUAGGGCGCAAGCGUUAUCCGGAAUUAUUGGGCGUAAAGAGCUCGUAGGCGGUUUGUCGCGUCUGCUGUGAAAGACCGGGGCUCAACUCCGGUUCUGCAGUGGGUACGGGCAGACUAGAGUGCAGUAGGGGAGACUGGAAUUCCUGGUGUAGCGGUGAAAUGCGCAGAUAUCAGGAGGAACACCGAUGGCGAAGGCAGGUCUCUGGGCUGUAACUGACGCUGAGGAGCGAAAGCAUGGGGAGCGAACAGGAUUAGAUACCCUGGUAGUCCAUGCCGUAAACGUUGGGCACUAGGUGUGGGGGACAUUCCACGUUUUCCGCGCCGUAGCUAACGCAUUAAGUGCCCCGCCUGGGGAGUACGGCCGCAAGGCUAAAACUCAAAGGAAUUGACGGGGGCCCGCACAAGCGGCGGAGCAUGCGGAUUAAUUCGAUGCAACGCGAAGAACCUUACCAAGGCUUGACAUGAACCGGAAAGACCUGGAAACAGGUGCCCCGCUUGCGGUCGGUUUACAGGUGGUGCAUGGUUGUCGUCAGCUCGUGUCGUGAGAUGUUGGGUUAAGUCCCGCAACGAGCGCAACCCUCGUUCUAUGUUGCCAGCGCGUUAUGGCGGGGACUCAUAGGAGACUGCCGGGGUCAACUCGGAGGAAGGUGGGGACGACGUCAAAUCAUCAUGCCCCUUAUGUCUUGGGCUUCACGCAUGCUACAAUGGCCGGUACAAAGGGUUGCGAUACUGUGAGGUGGAGCUAAUCCCAAAAAGCCGGUCUCAGUUCGGAUUGGGGUCUGCAACUCGACCCCAUGAAGUCGGAGUCGCUAGUAAUCGCAGAUC
rnacentral:rRNA from 1 species